AAACUAAAAGGGGAUUUUCACUUGUGUGAAGUAACGAAGAACGUUUUAAAGCUGUAAGUGUGUUUUGUAUUUUUUAUUGUGCAUAUUUGAAUAUCUGUUUCGCUUUUUUGUAUAAACUAUGAACUGUUAGUGUUAUAUUUACAGGUACACUGGAAUUAUGUUUUAGACUGAUUUGAUUUCAUUCACAAGAGGUUUUAAGUAUUUCAUAAAGGUGAAAGAGCUACUAUAUUACAUUACAGUGUCUGAAUACUCCUUAGUGAUCACAAAAUGAAAGCAGGUUUUCAAAAAAAUUGCUGCACACGAUGUUUUCACCAUUUUCGCUAGUGGGUAAUGCUGAAUCUGGACUGUGACUGCUUGAACCGAACACUGUGGUUUCCAGCUUGUGUUUUGUGUGGUCUGCCGCUGGGUCAGGGUGUCCCGGGUCUGGGCAGAGCUACCUGCUCGGGGCUCGUACACAGAAGGCCGGCCGUGACGAUUCCUCAUACCCUGUUCUCAACUGCCUCCUGGUCACAGAGCAGGUGACACCUGUCUCUCAAGCCCGUGUCGCCUCUGGGCCUCCGGUCAGGGAGAGAACAUACUGGUGCUCAAUGACUGCAGAUGAACCAGCAGUCAGGUUUUUUCAUUAUGUGUUGACAGCAACAUGAAAGAUCACAGGUGGGAUUUUAAGUAGUUCUAAAUUUCUCAAAAAACAGAACGAAACCCCAAUUUGAUUAGAAUGAAAAUUAAAUUUUUUACUGUGUGCUUCUAGGAAUAUUUGGAGUCAUAUAACAUUGCACGCUUAACCUCGUUCUUUUAUGUUUCUAUAAUUUUACAGCUAAAAAAAGCCAAACCGUCUACAACAAUGUUUGAUCAACAGCUUUCAAAGAGAACGGUGCAGAAUUUAAAGAAAUUUCAAGACUGGGGGGCGGUGCAGAAGGACAUCGAAGAUGUUCAAGCGUUGUUUUCAGCCACGAAGAUAGAAGCGCAGAGUAUGGGACCCUUGCAGGAGCAAACAGUGGAGAUGCAAGAGAAACUGAAGAAGGUGUUGCAGGACUUUAAAAGCUCUGUGAGCACCAUUGCGGAAGUGUCAUCGUCCUGUGAUGUACGUGGUACUAUAGAGAAAAUGGCACAGAACGUGGAAGCAGUGAAGGAAGAGUUCUUCCUCUACGAGUUCACUAUCAACACCAGCAUAAGCGAGAUGAAGAGGAAGAAGCAGGAACUGGAGGAGGAAAUCCAGGAGAAAAACGCCACCAUAAAGCAGAAGCAGCAGGUGAUGGAGCUCAAAGAGGAGCUGAAGAGAGAGACCGAAGAUGAGAAGCGGCAGGCGGAGAGCGACCGGCGCAGGUACGAGCAGCUGGCCGAGGAGCACGACCGCGAGCACGCCGUGGCCACCGCCGCCGCCGUCUCCACCUCGGUGGGCGGCGCCGUGGCCUCGGGUCUGCUGUUCUUCGUGCCGGUCGUCGGCCCUGUCCUGGCCGCGGCGACGCUGGCGGGGACGGUCACCGGGACAGCGGUGGCCUCGGUCAAGGCCGUGGAAUACCGGGACAAGAUGAAAGAGGCCGCAGAGAAAGAGAAAAGGACCAGAGACAAGAUCACCCGGCUGGCGUCCGACAUUCAGAAAAACAGGAACGCGAUUGAGGAGGAGACCAGGAAAAUCGCAGAGAUGCGCACGGAAAUAGCCACGUUCGAGAGAGUAACCCAAAAGCUGACGGAUUUCAAGAAGCGUCUCCACGGCGACGCUGGCCUCAGCCAGUUUGUGGAGGUGCUGGGCGAGUUCUUUGAGACCAUGCUAUUGGCACUGGGGAUUAUAAAACGGACAGAGGAAAUAUACCAUCGGACUUUAAAGAACCACAGUUCAAAGAGUAUGAUCAGUAAAAAAUUCCUUGAGAAAACAAAGUACCGCAGGGACUGCCUGAAGACCUUCAUGAGAGAUAUUGAACAGCUGGAGCUGGUGAGAGAAACCAAACCAGCCCUCAAGUGAGCUCCGCCCUGCCGGACCCCCUCGGAUUCUCUCCCGGCGCGGCCCCACGCUGCUGUGCUUCAUGCUGACUCUCUGGCUCGCCUCCCCCCCCAGUGCAUCAGUAUGGGGGUGCGCCUGUAACCCCACUUAGCUCUCGUAACUGCCUGUGUGCCUGCAGGCUGGGCUCUCUCGUGUGUGUGUGUAUGUAUUUCCUGAGGUGUGUGUGUUUCCUGAGGCUUGACCACUGGCUGGGCUCGUGUGUGUGUGUGUGUGUGUGUGUGUGUGUGUGUGUGUAUUUCCUGAGGCUUGACCGCUAGCUGGGCUCGUGUGUGUGUGUUUCCUGAGGCUUGACCGCUAUCUGGGCUCUUUUGUGUGUGUGUGUGUGUGUGUGUGUGUGUGUGUUUCCUGAGGCUUGACCACUGGCUGGGCUCGUGUGUGUGUGUGUGUGUGUGUUUCCUGAGUGCCUGGUAUAUUACACAGCAGAGGAAGGGUCAUGUCUGUGAAACUGCUUGUUAUUGUCUUGUUGCUUUGAGCCCUUUUCAAUGCAGUUGUAUCGACAGCUGGGGAGGGAUGAAGGCAGCCGACGAGACUGGCACCUGAUCCUGCACCCCCUCCUCUUCCUCGCUCGUGUGUGGGUCACCCCAACGUUUUCCCUACGUUCCAUAACCACUACUACCGGCACACAGACCCCGCCGCUGUCAUCCCCCGCCAGUACCCCUCUACUGGCUGAGCUUUCGGAGACGCGUCGUCCUCUCCACUGCGGCGCUGAGGGGGUCCGAGGCGAAGGGCCGGGCCUGGCAGUCAGAGGCGGGAGGAAGUGCCUGUUUUCACCCCUCCUCUCCAGCUACUCUUCUCUCAGCUGUCAGUCGGACGAUAACGAGGUGCUCGAGGGUUUUUACUUUGUAAGGACAAUAAAGUGAAACUCUUCCUGGGGUGUCCCGUGUGACCUGAUUCCUGCGCAGAGGCUGAUCUGAAAAUGAAACAUUCUCCCCCUCCCCUGGAGAUGGACUGCGCCGUUACCCCCUGACCUUUCACCCUGGCAGCCUCUCCGCCUACUGCUCCCUAUGUAAAGGGGACGCCCCGAACUUCCCCUGCUCCCCCUUUCUCUCGCUGGUGAGCGGCAGCACCAUCUGGACACCCCCACACAAACUGGACACCCCAGCUUCCCUUCUCUGGACAUCGCAUGACGAUGACCCUCUCCCCCUGGUGUGAGUGAACAGCUCUCUCAAUUUUCAAUUCGAUUCCAGGUGCUUUAUUGGCAUGACCGGUGGGUACAAUCAGUGUUGCCAAAGUGAAUAAAAAUAAUGAAAUUCACAUGAAGCAGAACAAAAAAUAAAAGAAAAAAAAUCUACAUUUACAACAAAGACAUAUUAUAAAAUAUUGACAUAUACUGUAGACAGAUGGAACAUUACUGGGAGACAGACUCACUGUUCCUCAGGCUGGGACAGGUUAACUCCUCCCUCUCCCAGUAGGAUUGGGACCCGUUGUGAUUCUCUCUCUCUCUCAUGUGAGUGAACAGUUUAUUUGGAGUACGAAAACUCUCCUUUGUUGUACAAAUGCAGAAUUCACUUUUACGGUUUAUUAUGGAGCAAAGUACAAGUUAUGUUCCUGCUACACGUCUGCAUGAGACAGAGGUCACAGUUCGUGAGUCUACUGACGCUUCGGUCGCGCCUGUAUCACGCAAUUUCCAUGCUUGCGACAAACCAUCAUUCAACACCAUCUUGACUGCUGCCACCUAGUGGACAGUUCGUGAAACAGAGGACGCUUGAGAAUCUAAAUUCUCUCACUGCUUUAUCCAGUCCAGGGUCACUGGGGGAGACAGAGCCUAUCCCAGCAAGCACCAGGCGCAAUGUAGAGUAUAACUUGGACACCAGUCCAUCACACACUCCCGCUCACUCAAACUCACGGUCACUCACACACACACACACACUCACACCAGGGGCAAUUUCUCCGGAAGACAAUUAACCCCCCAGCAUGUCUCUGGACUGUGGCGGGAAACCGGAGCACCCGGAGGGGACUCUCACGAGCACGAUGAGAACAUACAGACUCCACACAGACAGCACCCCCGGAAUUGCACCCAGGGCGCCAGCGCAGGGCCCACCACUGCACCACCACGCCGCCUCGCAUUCGAACGGUACUGUAUGGUGAAGACCCAGCAGCCCUCAGGGGCCUGUCUGUGUGGAGUCUGCAUGAGCUCCC
rnacentral:lncRNA from 1 species